CUUGGUGCCCAUAGCGGGGAGGCUACACCCGGCCCCAUUCCGAACCCGGCAGUUAAGCUCCCCUGCGCCCAUGAUACUGGCCGGGCAACCGGUCGGGAAAGUCGGUCGGUGCCAAGG
rnacentral:rRNA from 1 species